rnacentral:pre_miRNA from 1 species
GAACGGAACAUCCCCUGCAAACAGGGGUGUUGCAUCUUCUGCCCAUCCCUUCAUUUUGUGUAACAUCUCAUUCAGUGGGUCAUUCAGUUC